rnacentral:rRNA from 1 species
UCGGGAAUUUUGGGCAAUGGGCGCAAGCCUGAUCCAGCCAUGCCGCGUGGAUGAUGAAGGCCUUAGGGUUGUAAAAUCCUUUCGCCGAGGACGAUAAUGACGGUACUCGGAGAAGAAGCUCCGGCUAACUUCGUGCCAGCAGCCGCGGUAAUACGAAGGGGGCUAGCGUUGUUCGGAUUUACUGGGCGUAAAGCGCGUGUAGGCGGGUUGGAAAGUUGGGGGUGAAAUCCCGAGGCUCAACCUCGGAACUGCCUCCAAAACUUCCAGCCUGGACUCAAGUAGAGGCAAGUGGAAUUGCGAGUGUAGAGGUGAAAUUCGUAGAUAUUCGCAGGAACACCAGUGGCGAAGGCGACUUGCUGGACUUGUAGUGACGCUGAGACGCGAAAGCGUGGGGAGCAAACAGGAUUAGAUACCCCUGUAGUCCCUGAGCGGGCUGGCAAGGCGCAU